rnacentral:rRNA from 1 species
GACGAACGCUGGCGGCGCGCCUAACACAUGCAAGUCGAACGAGCGAGAGGAGGUUUACUUUCUCAAGCGAGUGGCGAACGGGUGAGUAACGCGUGAGGAACCUGCCUCAAAGAGGGGGACAACAGUUGGAAACGACUGCUAAUACCGCAUAAGCCCACGACCCGGCAUCGGGUAGAGGGAAAAGGAGCAAUCCGCUUUGAGAUGGCCUCGCGUCCGAUUAGCUAGUUGGUGAGGUAAUGGCCCACCAAGGCGACGAUCGGUAGCCGGACUGAGAGGUUGAACGGCCACAGUGGGACUGAGACACGGCCCAGACUCCUACGGGAGGCAGCAGUGGGGAAUAUUGCACAAUGGGGGAAACCCUGAUGCAGCGACGCCGCGUGGAGGAAGAAGGUCUUCGGAUUGUAAACUCCUGUUGUUGAGGAAGAUAAUGACGGUACUCAACAAGGAAGUGACGGCUAACUACGUG